AGUGAACGCUGGCGGUAGGCCUAACACAUGCAAGUCGAACGGCAGCACAGUAAGAGCUUGCUCUUACGGGUGGCGAGUGGCGGACGGGUGAGGAAUACAUCGGAAUCUACUUUUUCGUGGGGGCUAACGUAGGGAAACUUACGCUAAUACCGCAUACGACCUACGGGUGAAAGCAUGGGAUCUUCGGACCUUGCGCGAUUGAAUGAGCCGAUGUCGGAUUAGCUAGUUGGCGGGGUAAGGGCACACCAAGGCGACGAUCCGUAGCUGGUCUGAGAGGAUGAUCAGCCACACUGGAACUGAGACACGGUCCAGACUCCUACGGGAGGCAGCAGUGGGGAAUAUUGGACAAUGGGCACAAGCCUGAUCCAGCCAUACCGCGUGGGUGAAGAAGGCCUUCGGGUUGUAAAGCCCUUUUGUUGGGAAAGAAAAGCAGCAGGUUAAUACCCCGCUGUUCUGACGGUACCCAAAGAAUAAGCACCGGCUAACUUCGUG
rnacentral:rRNA from 1 species